rnacentral:rRNA from 2 species
GGCGGCGUGCCUAAUACAUGCAAGUCGAGCGAACGUUUGAGAGCUUGCUCUCAAACGUUAGCGGCGGACGGGUGAGUAACACGUGGGUAACCUGCCUGUAAGAUUGGGAUAACUCCGGGAAACCGGAGCUAAUACCGAAUAACAUUUUGAACCGCAUGGUUUAAAAUUGAAAGAUGGUUUCGGCUAUCACUUACAGAUGGACCCGCGGCGCAUUAGCUAGUUGGUGAGGUAAUGGCUCACCAAGGCGACGAUGCGUAGCCGACCUGAGAGGGUGAUCGGCCACACUGGGACUGAGACACGGCCCAGACUCCUACGGGAGGCAGCAGUAGGGAAUCUUCCGCAAUGGACGAAAGUCUGACGGAGCAACGCCGCGUGAACGAUGAAGGCUUUCGGGUCGUAAAGUUCUGUUGUUAGGGAAGAACAAGUACCAGAGUAACUGCUGGUACCUUGACGGUACCUAACCAGAAAGCCACGGCUAACUACGUGCCAGCAGCCGCGGUAAUACGUAGGUGGCAAGCGUUGUCCGGAAUUAUUGGGCGUAAAGCGCGCGCAGGCGGUUUCUUAAGUCUGAUGUGAAAGCCCACGGCUCAACCGUGGAGGGUCAUUGGAAACUGGGGAACUUGAGUGCAGAAGAGGAAAGUGGAAUUCCACGUGUAGCGGUGAAAUGCGUAGAGAUGUGGAGGAACACCAGUGGCGAAGGCGAC